UACGACGCUCCUGAAACGAACGCACCAUGGUUGAGCUGUCAUUUUUUCUCCCGCGCGCGUGUUCAAUCCUGUUGGUAUCGUUUGUGUUUGGCCGUGGUGUUGGACGAGAUUAAAAAAAAAAUCGCGAGUGAAUGUGAAAAAGUCACCUCCGGCGUCAAAUCCGCCGGGUUAUCGAUCCGGAACAGCUCUGGGAAGGCGGAAACUUUACAGAUUUUGGGACUUCUUUUACCAUUCGAUUCCGGGACCAAACUCAACAGAGGCUCUCGAAUCGAAAGCAGGUUCGGCCGACGUCGAGGCGUGGCCUCCAGGACAAAAGACAGCUGGCAAGGUGCUAAACGCGUUCCCAGUUGGUUGGACCGUUCUGCCGAGUGACGGAUCCGGAAUGUUGACGGGAGUUCUAAUUUUUCUGCAACUUGGGAACUAUUUCGAUCGUGGAUUGCGUAUGGUCCACGUGCUGCCGGGGGUUCUAGUCCGGCCACAAUUUACAAGAAGGAGGAACACCACCGCACUCGGGUCAGCUGAUGACCAAGGGUACACACUCCCAGCUCAGUUUGAUGGCAGGUGCUAAGGUGAUUCUAUAUUGGCCCGACGGCAGUCCGAUUUGUCGUGGUUGGAUACAGAAAGUGCGCGAAAAGGUGUAAUGGAGUCUCGUAGUUCCUGUGAAAGUUCUAUCCAGCAAGAGGUCGAAAUCGGCCGGAGUCUACGUCCGAGUACAAAUUUAACGACGACGUGCAGGGUGUCCGACGAAGUGGCUGCGGUGAAAGGGGAAGACAUUUCUGGAGUUUUUUUUUUUAAAAAAAAGGUCCAAUAAACCAAAUUUCCAGUUUUUGCUUUUUGGGUGUUCUUGAAACCGUCUUGAGUCAGGGGUAAUAAAAAACAUCCAAAAAGCAAAAACUGAAAAUUUGGUUUACUAGACAUUAACAAAACUCCAGAUUUGAGUGCGUAGUGAGGAGUGCAAGUGUGCGUAGCGGGAAGUGCGCGAAGAACAGAAGGAAGGAGAGGAAUAAUAUUAAAGAAACAAAGAUUUGUAACACGCACACAGCUUUUUGAGGCUAUCCAGAUUUUUAAGCGAAGAUGGCGUUCGAAUGGUGAACGCCCGAAAUGUCAAAAUCACGAAGUGGUACCAACAUUACGAAACAAGUGUGACACGGCAUGACAGCCAUACUUUUUUUUCUAAUGUUGGUGCUACUGCGCGAUUUGAACAUUUCGGGCGUUCACCAUUCGAACGCCAUCUUCGCUUAAAAACCUGGAUACAAAAAAAAACUAUAAAGUGUAUUCUAUUUAAGAUUAAUUUCAUUGUUCGUAUAUAGAUUUUACAGUAUCAUUUUGUGAGGAUUAAAAAAUAAAUAAUAUGAAAAAACCAUAAAACCUUCUGUAGUUAUUAUUUAUUUCAUUGUCCGAAUAUAGUUUUUACAGUACCAUUUAGUAGGAAAAAACCAUGAAGAACUGUAGAUUGACCGUGCAAUCCAUUGUAAUGCUUGCUGUUUUUAUUAUUAAUGUAUGAUGUUUUCUAUAGUCAGGACGAGUUUUUGGAUGAAAAAUGCAACAUUAGAUUAACAGUAAAAUGCGUCGUAUUUGGAAAAAAAAUGUAUGGAAAAAUUUCGAAAUUUUUAUGGUACCGGUGCAUAACAACCCCCCUUUUUUAUGGUAAAAUCCCAAAAUACGACGCAAAUUAUCUUAAAAAACAAUGCUGUCUACUGUUAAAACACUGUCAAAAUGACAAUAUAUUUUAUCGUUUUGUAACGUUAAAAUUUACUGUAAGUUCAUCAGAAAUCUUUAUGCGGGUUGCCCGCAUAAAAUUAUAUGAUGAUUUGUAUUGUCAAAACCAUGCAGUUACAAUAGAUAUUAUAAUAUCUAUGGUUAGUUUAUGGUUGAUUUUUUUUUAACUUCAUUGGAAUGACGAUAAAGUUAUCAUAGAUUUCAUGGUUACAGCAAAUUUCAUGGUUUUGUUAUUGGAAAUGUUAUAAAUUGAAACAAUAAAACUACUGUACAUUUCAUGAAUACAGCACAUAUUAUGGUUUUGUUAUUGGAAAUCUCAUAACGCAUUUUUUUCCAAUUUUUUGUUACAGUAAGUUUCAUUGUAAUGUUAUAGUUGCAUAGUGUGAACUUUUU